UACGAAGGGAGCUAGCGUUGUUCGGAAUCACUGGGCGUAAAGCGCACGUAGGCGGAUGUGUCAGUCAGGGGUGAAAUCCCGGAGCUCAGCUUCGGAACUGCCUUUGAUACAGCACGUCUUGAGUCCGAUAGAGGUGGGUGGAAUUCCUAGUGUAGAGGUGAAAUUCGUAGAUAUUAGGAAGAACACCGGUGGCGAAGGCGGCCCACUGGAUCGGUACUGACGCUGAGGUGCGAAAGCGUGGGGAGCAAACAGG
rnacentral:rRNA from 1 species